AAACUCAAAGGAAUUGACGGNNNNNNNNCACAAGCGGCGGAGCAUGUGGCUUAAUUCGAGGCANNNNGAAGAACCUUACCUGGGUUGAACUACGCAGGAAAAGCCGUAGAGAUACGGUGUCCGAAAGGGCCUGCGAUAGGUGGUGCAUGGCUGUCGUCAGCUCGUGUCGUGAGAUGUUGGGUUAAGUCCCGCAACGAGCGCAACCCUUGUCCUAUGUUGCCAGCGGGUAAUGCCGGGGACUCGUAGGAGACUGCCGGGGUCAACUCGGAGGAAGGUGGGGAUGACGUCAAGUCAUCAUGCCCCUUACGUCCAGGGCUGCACACAUGCUACAAUGGCCGGUACAGAGGGCUGCUAUCCCGCGAGGGUGAGCGAAUCUCAAAAAGCCGGUCUCAGUUCGGAUCGCAGUCUGCAACUCGACUGCGUGAAGUCGGAGUCGCUAGUAAUCCCGGAUCAGCAACGCCGGGGUGAAUACGUUCUCGGGCCUUGUACACACCGCCCGUCACACCACGAAAGUCGGUAACACCCGAAGCCAGUGGCCCAACCGCAAGGAGGGAGCUGUCGAAGGUGGGAUCGGUGAUUGGGGUGAAGUCGUAACAA
rnacentral:rRNA from 1 species